rnacentral:misc_RNA from 1 species
AGAUGAGCUUAUAAGGAAGAAGAUGAGUAGAAGAAGUCAUUGCUCCUCCAUUUUACCAAGGAAAAAAGAAGUUCUUUGCCACAAGUGGUCUACAAGAAAGGCAGCAGUAAAUAACAACAUUUAGACUGUUCACGAUGUGACACUCAUGCCUGGUGAUUUGUCCUUGAGUGCUUUGACCAAGCUUUUGCUGGUCAUGCCUGAAAUUGGUUACCAAUUACUACA